CUGCUAUGAGUGCCCGGACUUCCUUCUUUGCUCUAUAUGCCAAUCAAGGCAUCUUGCUGGCCACGAAGUGAUGGAAUUUCCAGUGAAGAAAGAACUGUUUGUGGAGGAGUGUCAAAAACAGCUACAUUCUCAUUAUAACACCUUCAGUAAAAUCAAGAUCAUCCCAUGGAAACCAGCCUCAGCCAUUCAUAUUGAUGAAAUAUACACCCAGCUAUC